rnacentral:rRNA from 1 species
UACGUAGGGUGCGAGCGUUGUCCGGAAUUACUGGGCGUAAAGGGCGCGUAGGCGGUUUGCUAAGUUGAAUGUGAAAACUCUGGGCUUAACCCAGAGCCUGCAUUCAAUACUGGCAGGCUAGAGUUCUGGAGGGGAUAGCGGAAUUCCUGGUGUAGCGGUGAAAUGCGUAGAUAUCAGGAGGAACACCGGUGGCGAAGGUGGCUAUCUGGACAGAGUCUGACGCUGAGGCGCGAAAGCUAGGGGAGCAAACAGG